GCCUAUGGCCAUGCUAUCCUGAACAAGCUUGAUCCCGUCAGAUCUCGGAAGCUAAGCAGGGUCGGGCCUGGUUAGCACCUGGAUGGGAGACCACCUAGGAAGACCAGGUGCUGUAUGAG
ensembl:rRNA 5S_rRNA 5S ribosomal RNA